rnacentral:lncRNA from 1 species
UUUCCAGUCCACAUGUUUUCAUCUUGCAGAUUGGGACAAUGAAUUGAUAUGCUACAAAGAAGUAAGUGAGGAUCUGACAUGUACCUGGUUGCCAGUACCCAAUGCUCCAAAUACUGUUACUUAUACUGUAAACUUAAAAUGGGAAAGAAUCACAAAACUUUUGCAAAGAAACACGUCAUUGCCUUUCAUCAAAAUAGAACGAAAGGAUCUUUACAUGAAACGCUCUGCAUCUAUUUGGAUAGCUGUGAAUUAUGCCCAUGAGAGCUGUUUGAAAGGAAGGAACAUCUCAGUUACACCAAGCAAAGCAGAGAAGUGCUUGACACCAUCUAACAUAAAUGCUCAUCAGAUCACAAACCAAGUGAUAAUAAAAUGGGACCUGCCUGCAACUCCUACAAAAUAUGAGCUGAGAUACAGAGAAGCACUUACAGAAUCCACUCAGUGGAUGUUGGUGACCACAGAAAGCAAUGCUGUCAACAUCACUGUUUCAGACUUAAAUGUUAUGUCUUCAUACAUUGUUCAGCUCAGAUGCAUAGCCACGGAUGAUCAUCACUGUGUUUGUGUUUGGAGUAGAGAGAUUUUGGUCCCCCACAAGCUCACUAAGAAGCCAACACUAUCAUAUAAUAUAACUACAGAAAUCUCUCCAGGCAGAAGAAGUGUUCUUCUUAAGUGGGAGGCAGCACAAAGCAGGAAUGUCCUUGGAUACUACGUUAAUGUAG